rnacentral:rRNA from 1 species
AACGAACGCUGGCGGCAUGCCUAACACAUGCAAGUCGAACGAAGUCUUCGGACUUAGUGGCGCACGGGUGCGUAACGCGUGGGAAUCUACCUUUAGGUUCGGAAUAACUCCUCGAAAGGGGUGCUAAUACCGGAUGAUGUCGCAAGACCAAAGAUUUAUCGCCUAAAGAUGAGCCCGCGUAGGAUUAGCUAGUUGGUGAGGCAAAGGCUCACCAAGGCGACGAUCCUUAGCUGGUCUGAGAGGAUGAUCAGCCACACUGGGACUGAGACACGGCCCAGACUCCUACGGGAAGCAGCAGUGGGGAAUAUUGGACAAUGGGCGAAAGCCUGAUCCAGCAAUGCCGCGUGAGUGAUGAAGGCCUUAGGGUUGUAAAGCUCUUUUACCCGGGAUGAUAAUGACAGUACCGGGAGAAUAAGCCCCGGCUAACUCCGUGCCAGCAGCCGCGGUAAAAC